AAGAUGGGUUUUCAGGUGUUUUUUGAAAAUUGCCAGAGAUGGGGAAGAUCGUAUCUCAGCAGGGAGCGCAUUCCACAAUCUCGGGGCAGCGACCGAGAAGGCCCAUCUCUGCGUAGCCACCCAAAGUGUUAGUGGUAACUGGAGACGGACCUCCUCAGAUGACCUCAAUGGGCGGUGGGGCUCAUAAUGAAGAAGACACUCUCUUAGAUACCCAGGGCCUAAGCCAUUCAGGGCUUUGUAAGUUAUAACUAGCACUUUUUAUUUUCCCCGGGAACCUAUUGGCAGCCAGUGUAACUCCAUCAGUAAAGGAGUAACAUGGUCUCUCUGAGAUGACCCAGACACCAACCUGGCUGCCACGUUCUGAACCAAUUGAAGUUUCCGGACUACGUACAAAGGCAGCCCCACAUAUAGCGCAUUACAAAAGUCAAGUCUGGAGGUCACCAACAGAUGUACCACUGUUUUGAGGUCAUUGAUCUCGAGAAACGGGCGCAGCUGGCGUAUCAGCUGCAGCUGAUAGAAAGCACCCCUGGCCACCACCUCAACCUGAGAAACCAGGGAGAGGUGUGAAUCCAGAAGUACUAAGCAUUCCAGAAGUACUAAACAGUUAUAAUAAGUACAAUCCAGAAGUACUAAACAGUUAUAAACAUCCUUACCUUAGCAACAGUUGGAUACACAAGUGUUUGGUAAAUAACAACAAGGCCAGGAACUGCAGAAGAGUCUUCAAAUGCUUCUUGAUUCCUAGAGGUCUGAAUCAUACACUGUAGUCAAAGAUGUUAAAGACUGACUUCGAGUCAUUCGUAAUGGGUCUUCAAGGCGUGUGCUGGAAAGCUGCCCAGGGAACAUUACGUCAGAACUGGAUAGGUUUGGAAACAGGAAAUAGUGAGAUGGAGCAAGAUCUGGUGAGUAGAGUGGAUGAUCUAUGCAUUCAAACCCCAAAUUCCUCGAAACAUCCAUCGUCUUGCCAGCCUUGUGAGCAAGUGCAUUGUCCUGCAAAAAGAGAACACCUUCCGUAUUAUUUUAUCACACUGCAGAUUUUUGACUUGCAGCACUGAAGCUGCAUUCCUGCUGUGCACCUCUGACUGCAGCAGCAUUCAUGCGCUCUGGCCAUCCCACCAUCAUUGAUUGAUUUAUUAUGCUGCCAUUCUCAGAUCCUCAGUGUAAGGCCUUUAAAAGUUAAAAUCACAAUUAUUUUUGAAUUAUGCUUGGGAAUAGAUUGGGGAGUGUUGCCCUUUAUGUUCCAAGGUUUGCUCCAAUGCUUGUUCCCAGACUCCCAGUUGGUAUUAACCCUGAUUUACAUCUGAUUUCUCCACGCCCCAUCCCCGCCUUUCCCCCAUUGCCUGAGAGAUACUACAGUUGUUAUUUCCUUGGCUGCUUCUCUCAUUAUCAAAGUUGUUUACCAAAUCAAAAUGGUGGAAAAUGUCAGGAAACCAGUUUAGCUUCACAGCCAAUUUCCAAAAAUAGGGCAGACAGGUGUAAAGGAAUACAUCUCUAUCUUCAAACAACAUUUUGCAUACCGAUGUUUUUCAUUUCAUGUUAAAAAAACAAACAUAGAUGAAGAAUUCUAAAGUCCUCACCAGAUUCCCCUUUACCAGAAGAGUUCUGAGCCUUGUUUCAACUCUUGUCUGGUUCAGUUCGAAGGCUGGUCCAGUUUAACCCCAAACCCAUGGAGCUGAGCCGAGCUCGCACACCCCUACUCUCACUGUCAGUGACUGACAAGGCAAGGGAUCUUGGGGGCAUGAUGGAAAGUGUCAGCUCAAUCUGCUGUAGCUGUUAAAAAGGUCAGUUCCAUGCUUGGAAUCAUUGGGAAGGGGGUUGAAAACUGCUAAUAUUAUAAUGCCCUUAUGCAAAACUAUGGUGAGGCCACAUUUGGAGUACUGUCUACAGUUCUGGUCACGAUAUCUUAAGAAGGACAUUGUAGAACUGGAAAAGUUGCAGGAGAGGGCAACCAAGAUUAUCAGGGGCCUAGAGCACCUUCCUUACAAGGCAAGGCGACAAUACCUGAGGCAUUAGGCAUUAGGUUUAGAAAAAAGGUGACUGAGGAGAAACAUGACAGGAGUCUAGAAAAUCAUGCAUGGUGUGGAGAAAGUUGAUAGAGAAAUUUUUUUCUCCCUCUUGCAUAACACUAGAACCAGGGGUCAUCCCAUGAAACUGAUUACCAAAAUGUUUAGGACCGACAAAAGGAAGUACUUUUUCACACAAUGCAUAAUUAACCUUUGGAGUCCUCUGCUAUAAGAUGUGGUGACAACCUACAGCCUGAAUGGCUUUAAGAGGGGUUUAGAUAAAUUCAUGGAGAACAGGUCUAUCAAUGGCUACUAGUCUGAUGGCUAUAGGCCACCUUCAGCCUCAGAGGUCUCUAAAUACCAGUUGCAGGGGAGUAACCCCAGGAGAGAGGGCAUGCCUUUAGUGCCACCAUUACCUCUAAGCUGCGCGCUGUGUGUGCACACACACCCUACAAGCUGCCUGCACAGCAAUCCCAAAAGGCCACUCACUCGCCCUUUUGCCGGUGCUGGCUGCUACUCCCCCGAUCCUCCCCAAAAGUGCUGCUUUCUUUGCAGCUACUGCCCCCCGCGCCCACCCCUGGAUUUGAGUGGAUUAGUGUCAUCUGCAAAUUUGCUCACCUCACUGAUUACCGCAACUUCUAGGUCAUUUAUUAAUAAAUUAAAAAGCACCAGUCCCAGUGCAGAUCCAUGGGGGACCCCACUUCUCUCCAUUUAGAGAAUUGUCCAUUUAUACUCACCUUCUGUUUCCUGUCCUUCAACCAGUUAACAAUCUAUACAUGAACCUCUCCACUUAUCCCAUGACUGCUAAGUUUUCUCAAGAGUCCUUGAUAAGGAAUUUUUUUGAAAGCUUUUUUGAAGUCCAGAUAUACUAUGUCAAUUGGAUAACCUCUAUCAACACACCUGUUGCCAAUUGAUUAGUAAUGUAACUUUCAUGUCAUUCUUGUUGCUAUAAUUAACAGAAAGAAGUAGGUGGGAUGGGAACAAUAUUUCUGUAUUGUGUUUGAGUUAAUACUGGAGUUUCUGAUCUUCACAUUUAAAACCUAAAUACUUGAAAACAAAAGGACCCCCAGUCCCCUGGUGGUUCAUCUCCAGGUGCUACCAGUUCACCUGUAGAAGCUUGGAAUCAGGCAUUUGAGUAGUCAUCAUUAGGUUGUGGAACACGCUCCCCCUGGGUAUAAGAAAGUUAUUUUUAGAUAUCUUCAAGAGAGCAAUAAAGACCCAUCUCUUCAGCUUGGCUUUUGAUGAUAUUUAUGUAUUUUUAUUGGUGUUUAAAAGAGUUGUAUGUUGAUAUUUUUAAAUGGUUUUAUUUUCUAUUUUAUGCUAAUAGUUUAAACAGUUUUAUUUUUAUUGUGAACCGCCCUUAGCCAUUUUUAGAUGGGCAGGACAUAAAUGAAACUAACUUGAAUGAAUGAAUGAAUGAAGUCCUAAGGGAGGACAUUCUUCAGCAAUAGAAUUUAAAGUGAUCAACUGGUACUUUAAAAAGUGAUUUUAAAAAAAAAGUGUACUGAAGUAACCGGAGCCUAAGUGUUAUGCCGGAACAGUCAACCCUGACAAAGAGGUCCUCUAUAAGAUUACCCUUGCUAGCUGGGGGAAAGGGCACCUCUUAAAAUAGCGACUCUUAUAUUUAGAAGGGAGAGAACAACUGUCUCUCCUGCUGCUCAUCACAGACUUGCUAACAUGGGCUGCAUGGUCCCCUGCUAACUGAGUCCCGAGGCACCUUAUUAAAGUGGUGAUUCUCUUUAUUGAGCAAGGGGAGAGCAACUGGCCCUAUCCAUCCCCAGCAAAGCAUCCCUCCAGUGGCUGUCGAUGGUGUCUAUCUUAUGUUUCUUUUUUAGAUUGUGAGCCCUUUGGGGACAGGGAGUCAUGUUAUUUAUGUAUAUCUAUGUAAACUGCUUUGGGAACUUUGGCUGAAAAGUGGGAUAUGAAUAUUCAUCAUAUUCGUGUUCAUAGCAUACCUCCCAGUGUCUGUUGCUACUGUCUCCCUUGUGUUCCUUUUAAAGUUUGUAAACUAUUUUGGGAAAGGAAAACAACUUUUCAUUUCUAUGCUAUGUAAACUAUUUCAACUGCGUUGUGAACUUUUCUUUGUUAAAAAGCAGUAUAUAAUAUGCUUAAUAAUAAAAACAUAAUAUUAUUGCCUGUAAAAGGCUGGUG